GGGGGUAUAGCUCAAUUGGAAGAGCGGUUGCUUUGCAAGUAGCUGGUUAAGAGUUCAAAUCUCUUUACCUCCACCA
rnacentral:tRNA from 1 species